ensembl:lincRNA
CUCCUCCUCAGCCGCCCGGAGCGAGAAGCCAACAUGGAGCCUGAAGAUCUGCCGUGGCCUGGCGAGCUGGAGGAGGAGGAGGAGGCGGAGGUGGCGGCAGCGACCGCGGCGCAGACGGAUAGGGCCCCGAACUCCGAAGAGACCGUGAUGGGGAAGGUGGAGGAGGUGAAAGAGGUGGAAGAGGUGGAGGAGGAGGCGGGGCCGGGGCCGGAGCGGGAGCCCGAGCGGGAGCCCGAGUUGGACUCCGGCUUAAACUACCAGUACCAGCCACUGGAAAGUACGGACGACGAAGAAGAUGAGGAGGCCAAGGCUUGGCUGCUGGCACGCCCCGGCGUGACUUUUCCCCCAUUGCCACCGCCGAGGCCGCGCUACUCACAGAGCGAGAGUACCUCUUCUGAGGUUGUUCCAUUGACUGAUAAUGUUUGGCAACAGUCAUCUUAUGAAGGUGAUAUUAGAAAACAUAUUUCUGAUAGUAAUGUAGCCUCGUCAGAAACAACAGUUCAGUGGGAUUCUGGGGAUGAUCAGAGAACAGAAUCUUGGAAUUAUUUUCCUCAAGAAAUGGACUCUUCUCAAAGCUUGGAUAUAUCACAGACCAGAAUUAACAUUGGAGCGGAAGGGUCUGAAGUGAUAGAGUUCCCGUCUUUGGAGGAAGGUAUAUUGACCCAGUCAGAAGAACAUGUAAAGGAACGAAACAGAAAUCUCUUAUGUUCUCCAUUGCUAGUCAUACAGGAUAACUUUGCUUCUCCUGAUUUGCCUUUGCUGACGUGUUUGACACAAGACCAGGAACUUGGGUCUGAUUCCUUAUUUCACCAAAGUCAACUAGAUUUUGCACCUCUGAGAGGAAUCCCUGAUAAGACUGAAGACAUUGAAUGGUUUUCUCGGCCAUCGGAAGUUAGUGAAGCUUUGUACCAGGCUACCUCAGAAGUAUCUUCAGACUUAGUUAACAGUUGCUUUAGUGUAUCUCAGCACGUACUUACAGGUAGCACAGCCAUUGGGUCUCAGCGCUCUUUUUUAUCUCCUGAACAAGAGAAUAAUAAAGAGAAUACUUCAUCCAACACUGUUGAUGAACUGAAAAUCCCCAAAGAUUCUGAUAAUUAUGAUGCUCUUUGUUCAUAUAUGUCAUGGAAGACACAAAAAGACAUACAGCAGCCAGGAAACAAUUUUGCUGAUAAAGAUCAAGUUUCAGUUUCAACUUUAUCUGAUAUUAGUGAUGAAAAUAUAGCUCCUAAAAGAAGUGACAGUUUUAAUGCUUCUGGUUUACAUGUGCAUUGGGAACAGGAGCCUUUACAGCAGACAGAACCAGGUCUAACCAAUAAGGACCAUGUUUCUUUUCCACAUGAAGUUGCUUAUGAUAAUAAAAUGUCAUAUUCUUUCUUGCGAGUUUUGUUGGAAAGAAGAGGAAAAGCAAUUCCCUUGACAUCUGAUAGUCAUAAUUUUGAGAGUGUGUUUUUAAGUUCUUCUGCUGAGAAUGAGGUGAAACAAAAGGUGAAUUCUUUGGAGGGAUAUGAAAGAACUGAAGGAGGUCUACAGAAAGAAUUAUCUCAAUGUUUUAAACAAAAGGAGUCUACAAAUAAUUUGCUAUCUUCAGAGGUGCAUCCCAAAUCUUUAGAUGUAAAGUAUGUUGGGAAUGUUGUAGUUCCUGAUAAUUCUGUAAAAGUUUCAGAAGCACAUAUACUCUCUGGAGGACAUGAUAUCUCUAAGAUGGAGGCUUCUGGUGGUCCCCUUCAGACACCUGCAUCCAACUUGGAUGAGACAUCAGUACAACUGUAUUUUCAAGAGGAAAGAAACCAAAAGGAAACAUCUGCUUUUGAGCUUAAAGUCAUCUGCUUUUUUAAGUGGAAAACCUUAUGACCAGGCUGUUGGUCUUGGCAAAACACAAUCAGCUGUAUUUCAGCAU